rnacentral:lncRNA from 1 species
AUCACUGAGAUGCUUGCUUCUCCACAAGAUGCUAAAGUCUUCACCUGGCAGCAGGAGAAGCACAGCUCCCUGCCCAGAGGGCUUGGCUCAGGAUGAAACAAGGUUAAAUAAAUCACAAGCACCAUUCUACUGGAGUCAAGGUUACAGCAAAGAAAGAAGGAGUUGGUGAAGAUUGAGGUUAGUGGUUGUAGAAAACAAGGUGGUCAGCUCUAAAAAUGGGAGCUUGGUUUUGACAAAACUGUGAAGCAGGUAAAGACCGGCUUC